GGNGAANUGGUGAGUUAACACGUGGGGAAUUCUGCCCAGAAGCAGGGGAUAACACUUGGNAACAGGUGCUAAUACCGUAUAACAACAAAAUCCGCAUGGAUUUUGUUUGAAAGGUGGCUUNGGCUAUCACUUCUGGAUGAUCCCGCGGNGUNUUAGUUAGUUGGUGAGGUAAAGGCCCACCAAGACGAUGAUACGUAGCCGACCUGAGAGGGUAAUCGGCCACAUUGGGACUGAGACACGGCCCAAACUCCUACGGGAGGCAGCAGUAGGGAAUCUUCCACAAUGGACGAAAGUCUGAUGGAGCAAUGCCGCGUGAGUGAAGAAGGGUUUCGGCUCGUAAAACUCUGUUGUUAAAGAAGAACACCUUUGAGAGUAACUGUUCAAGGGUUGACGGUAUUUAACCAGAAAGCCACGGCUAACUACGUGCCAGCAGCCGCGGUAAUACGUAGGUGGCAAGCGUUGUCCGGAUUUAUUGGGCGUAAAGCGAGCGCAGGCGGUUUUUUAAGUCUGAUGUGAAAGCCUUCGGCUUAACCGGAGAAGUGCAUCGGAAACUGGGAGACUUGAGUGCAGAAGAGGACAGUGGAACUCCAUGUGUAGCGGUGGAAUGCGUAGAUAUAUGGAAGAACACCAGUGGCGAAGGCGGCUGUCUAGUCUGUAACUGACGCUGAGGCUCGAAAGCAUGGGUAGCGAACAGGAUUAGAUACCCUGGUAGUCCAUGCCGUAAACGAUGAGUGCUAAGUGUUGGAGGGUUUCCGCCCUUCAGUGCUGCAGCUAACGCAUUAAGCACUCCGCCUGGGGAGUACGACCGCAAGGUUGAAACUCAAAGGAAUUGACGGGGGCCCGCACAAGCGGUGGAGCAUGUGGUUUAAUUCGAAGCUACGCGAAGAACCUUACCAGGUCUUGACAUCUUCUGCCAAUCUUAGAGAUAAGACGUUCCCUUCGGGGACAGAAUGACAGGUGGUGCAUGGUUGUCGUCAGCUCGUGUCGUGAGAUGUUGGGUUAAGUCCCGCAACNAGCGCAACCCUUAUUAUCANUUGCCAGCAUUCAGUUGGGCACUCUGGUGAGACUGCCGGUGACAAACCGGAGANAAGGUGGGGAUGACGUCAAAUCAUCAUGCCCCUUAUGACCU
rnacentral:rRNA from 1 species